UGGCGAACGGGUGAGUAACACGUGGGUAAUCUGCCCUGCACUCUGGGAUAGGCCUGGGAAACUGGGUCUAAUACUGGAUAUGACCUUUCUCCUUAUGGGGUUUGGUGGAAAGUUUUUCGGUGUAGGAUGAGCCCGCGGCCUAUCAGCUUGUUGGUGGGGUGAUGGCCUACCAAGGCGACACGGGUAGCCGGCCUGAGAGGGUGAUCGGCCACAUUGGGACUGAGAUACGGCCCAG
rnacentral:rRNA from 1 species